GCAAGAGUAACUCGUCAACGGAGUUCCAAUCCGUUUCUGAUCCAAGUCCAAUACUGCUUUAGUAGAUUCAAAAUCCAGUGGCCGCAAGGUCGUGUGGGUUCAAGUCCCACCUCUGGUA
rnacentral:tRNA from 1 species